ACGGGGGAUUAGGGUUCGAUUCCGGAGAGGGAGCCUGAGAAACGGCUACCACAUCUAAGGAAGGCAGCAGGCGCGCAAAUUACCCAAUUCUAACAGCAUAAGAGAGGUAGUGACAAGAAAUAACAAUACAAGGCAGUAAAAAUGCUUUGUAAUUGGAAUGAUAGAAAUUUAAACACUUUUUAAAGUAUCAAUUGGAGGGCAAGUCUGGUGCCAGCAGCCGCGGUAAUUCCAGCUCCAAUAGCGUAUAUUAAAAUUGUUGCAGUUAAAAAGCUCGUAGUUGAAUUUUUGUUAAAAAUAACCGGUCUGCUUUUAAUAAAAGUGGUAUCUUGGUGUGUUUUUAGCAAUAAUGUCCUUUGAAAUGUUUUUUACUUUAUUGUAAUAAAUUAUUUUCAGGAUUUUUACUUUGAGAAAAUUAGAGUGUUUCUAGCAAGCUUAUGCUUUGAAUACUGCAGCAUGGAAUAAUAAAAUAGGAUUUUAGUUCUAUAUUAUUGGUUUUAAGAACUAAAUUAAUGAUUGAUAGGGACAGUUGGGGGCAUUUGUAUUUAACUGUC
rnacentral:rRNA from 1 species